rnacentral:rRNA from 1 species
UACGUAGGGGGCAAGCGUUGUCCGGAAUCAUUGGGCGUAAAGAGCGUGUAGGCGGUCCGAUAAGUCGGUUGUGAAAGUCCAGGGCUCAACCCUGGGAUGCCGAUCGAUACUGUCGGACUAGAGUUCGGAAGAGGCGAGUGGAAUUCCUGGUGUAGCGGUGAAAUGCGCAGAUAUCAGGAGGAACACCAAUUGCGAAGGCAGCUCGCUGGGACGUAACUGACGCUGAGACGCGAAAGCGUGGGGAGCAAACAGG